rnacentral:lncRNA from 1 species
UAAAGCACCCAUCUUCAAUUCUUCAUCCCUGCGUCUUCUCUCUUUAACGCCGACUCCACCGACAACCAACCUCACACCUUGCCGGAGAUACAAUCGUUGAUUCUGCAUCCGUCUUCUCUUUCCGAAAAACUUCAACGACAACCAACCACUGCCACCUAUCUACUCCACAUCCUUCUAACGCACCUACAACCCUCCAACCUCGUGAAGUACCGGUGAUGCUAGUCGAUCCAACCAUCACCGAAAACAAUGGAGUCCACAGAGCUACAUUUAUAAUCAGAAAUGAGGGUGUCAUCUGUGAAACUUAUUUCCAGGUAACAUCAUAUGAAUAAAAAAACAAAUUCCAAUCCUUUCUUCUACCCCUCUCCGUGAUUCCCUUUCUGUCGUUAUUGGUUCUCUCUAUUUUCUCAGGUCUCUUAUGUGAGUUGUGUUUGUAUUAACUGUACAUGACGUGUGAUGUUGUAUUGAUUAUAUAGGUUACUAUAAUCUGGAUAUAACUUUGUGAUUGGUGCGAAAAAAUGGAUUCCACUUGAGUUGCACAAGAGGUGUUUGAUGAAAUGCUUAAAAAAGAUGUUUCGUGAUGCCCAAAAUUGCCAACAUAGUUAUCACUUGUAACUCAUCUCUGUGCAUAAAAUGAGUCUUCUGAUUAGCAAAUUGAGUCCUUUAAAUCUUUGUUUUUUUAAAUUUGGAGGUCUGUAAAUUAAAUCUUUUAAAGAUCUAAUCGAUGGUUAUGGGUUAAAAUGUUUACUCACUUGAAACUAGUAAUUUGAAUCCCUUAAUGAUUUGAUUUUAGAGAGACAACAGUUGUUCCACUGGAGCAAUCAUCUCUAUUUUCUUUGGCUCUACAUACCAUGAAUCGUCAGAGGCGGAGGGUUGCCGGGGAAAGAAGAAUGUGAUAUGAGGAUGUCGAUGUUAGAGCAGGAAACAGAUUGGGUGGGGAUCAAUUUACCGAUGACGGGAGUAUUAUGGUGGUGAAGAGUUACCGGCGGAGAAGAAAAGAAGAUGAGGAAGAUCUCGUGAGAUGUCGGAUUGGGAUUUUCACAAGGGGUAUACGCACUAGGUGAAUGCGUAAAUAGGGUGGGGCCUAAAUUUAAUUAUUAUUUUUUUAAAUAAAUGUAAAAAAUAAAAAAUUCUUAUAAGGACAAAAUAGUCUUUUUAGGACAGAUAGGGACCAAGCGUGUAACAAAAAUAUAAAGUAGGGAUGGUCCGUGUUAAAAAAAAUUGUUAGGGAC